UAGGAAUAAAAAUGGGUGCUUGAAAAGCCCAAGUAACACAGGCAAAGCCCAAAAGAAAACAAUAGGUAUUUCUUUGAAAAUGAGUGGACAAAUUCGAAGAGCCGAAGUAACACAGGGAAAGCCCAAAAGAAGACAGGAGGAGGAGUUGUAAAAGAGGCGUCCCGAUGAGAUGUCUUUGUCUAAGCGCCGCCGCCGCAUCGAUGCUCACAAACAAAACGAGAGAGAGAGAGAGAGAUGGAUGAUUCCUGAGGAUUAGAAAAGGCUUGUUCAUUGCCUGAGUCUGAGGUAAUAUGUAUGUAUGUAUAUUUGUAUUAUUAUUAUUAUUAGAUUUGAUGUUUCGAUUCUGUUUAAAUUCAAAAAAGGAAAUCUUACUUAAACGGAGAGGAAAUUUUCUCUUUUUUUUUUUUGUGUUUCCAGAUUCCUUAGCUGCCUG
rnacentral:lncRNA from 1 species